rnacentral:rRNA from 1 species
CCAAUAGCGUAUAUUAAAGUUGUUGCAGUUAAAAAGCUCGUAGUUGAAUUUCGGGAUUAGUACGCUGGUCGUGCCUUCGGUAUGUACUGGUGUUACUGGCUCCUACCUUCUGACGAACCGUCAUGUCAUUAAUUUGGUGUGGCGGGGAAUCAGGACUGUUACUUUGAAAAAAUUAGAGUGUUUAAAGCAGGCUCGCGCUUGAAUACAUUAGCAUGGAAUAAUGAAAUAGGACGUUCGAUCCUAUUUUGUUGGUUUCUAGGAUUGACGUAAUGAUUAAUAGGGAUAGUUGGGGGCAUUAGUAUUCAAUUGUCAGAGGUGAAAUUCUUGGAUUUAUUGAAGACUAACUACUGCGAAAGCAUUUGCCAAGGAUGUUUUCAUUAAUCAAGAACGAAAGUUAGGGGAUCGAAGACGAUCAGAUACCGUCGUAGUCUUAACCAUAAACUAUGCCGACUAGGGAUCGGAUGAUGUUAUUUUUAAUGACUCAUUCGGCGCCUUACG